AAUCGCAGUAAAAAAUUCAUAAAACAAAAUAAACUAUUUUACCUUGAGUCAAAAGUUGUUCUGCUUAUUUUCCGGGAUUUCAUUACUUAACUCUCCUAUUGCUGACGUAUUUCAAGCAAGCAGCCGGAAUUUACGGACAUGGAAGUCUUAAGCGGCAUAGGAAUGGAGUUGCCUCUUGAUAGUCCGCCGGACUAUACGGAAAUAAUUUAACCAUCUGCCCCCCCCCAAUAUACAGGAACUGAAUAUCAGGAAACUGAGUUUCCGCAAACUGAGCAACCCCAGAUUGGGGUUCUUCCGGCACUUCGAUAUACACAGGCUCCUGGGCAUCGGCCACCAAUAAGCAAUCUCCUACCAGCUGGAUAUCCCCCACCAACUACACAUCAUGCACCAGUUACAGAUCUUCCACCUCCUGGGUACACCCCAUCCUAUCCCGUGCAACAACAACCAUAUGUACAAACCCAUGUACAACAACAACAACAACAACAACAACAACAACAACAACAACAACACCAGCAACAGCAACAAAGUGUGAUCAUAACCACCCAACAGCCACAACACAUCUACACUGAAAAUAAGAUGGUAACAGCAAUUCUUGUCACCCUUUUCUGCUUUUUGCCAACAGGCAUUCCUGCUAUAAUAUAUGCAGAUAAAGCCAAUACAUUGUUUCAAUGUGGUAAUACAACGAGAGCAACGCUGGCUAAUAAAAAAGCAACACAUCAGAAUAUCCAUCGUCGCUGAUAUUAUUACGUCUAUUGGUUGCACUGCAGCAAUAAUGGCAGUAAUCGUUAAAGCUACAACUAGUACACAUGCUGCCAUAAGCAACUGGUCAAAUGAUUAUGAUUAUGUUAUCAAUUAAAUAGAGUAUGUUUUGUUAAAUACAUUGAGAGCUUCAAUCAGAAAAUGACAUAUUUCAUAAUAUUUCAUAAUAUAUUUUGCAAUUCGGAAUACUGAAAAAUGGAUAUAUUCUGACCAGUAUAUCUGUGUAGCUAUAGCCUAAUAGCAGGGACCGAUAAUGGAAUAAAAAAUAUUGGAGUUUAAAUAGUUUUCUGCGCCACAGCAGACAUUUCUUCUGUCCGAUAUACUCUCAGCCACUGAAAUAUACUGAGUGCUAGAACUGUUGUUUUCUUUGUUUUUUGUUUUGUUUGCAUUUCUUUCAUUUUCUCAUCUCUAAAAAUCUACAUCUAAA
rnacentral:lncRNA from 1 species